UACGUAGGGUGCGAGCGUUAAUCGGAAUUACUGGGCGUAAAGCGUGCGCAGGCGGUUCGCUGUGUCCGAUGUGAAAGCCCCGGGCUUAACCUGGGAAUGGCAUUGGAAACUGGCGGGCUUGAGUGUGGCAGAGGGGGGUGGAAUUCCGCGUGUAGCAGUGAAAUGCGUAGAGAAGCGGAGGAACACCGAUGGCGAAGGCAGCCCCCUGGGCUAACACUGACGCUCAGGCACGAAAGCGUGGGGAGCAAACAGG
rnacentral:rRNA from 1 species